AUAAAUACAGGCCAGCUCCCUGGGCCAGCUCAGUCCCUAGAGAAGAGCCAGAAAGAACACAUCAAGAUACAUCUUUGUAAAGAGGCUCAUUUGAAAGAAUUAACAACAUACUUCUGCCAACCAGAAAAAGGGAACCAUAAACUGCCUGAAAAAAGCCAGAGGGAGAAGGAGUCCUGAGCCUCCAAAGUGAAGAGCUGAAAGCCUCUCUACUAAGCUCCAGUUUUAUCACAGGAACAUAUGGAAGGGACUGUUCACGAAGCUUGAGUAUGGGAAACGGUGUGCCUGCAUUGCCCAAGUCUCAUUGAU